UACGAAGGGGGCGAGCGUUGUUCGGAUUUACUGGGCGUAAAGGGCGCGUAGGCGGCCCUCCUAGUCGCGUGUGAAAGCCCCGGGCUCAACCUGGGAAUUGCGCGCGAAACGGGGGGGCUUGAGUUCGGGAGAGGAGCGUGGAAUUCCCAGUGUAGAGGUGAAAUGCGUUGAGAUCGGGAGGAACGCCCGCGGCGAAAGCGAGGCCCUGGAUCCCUGCUGACGCUGAGACGCGAAAGCCAGGGGAGCGAACGGG
rnacentral:rRNA from 1 species